ensembl:lncRNA LINC00667 long intergenic non-protein coding RNA 667
ACUUCCGGCAGCGCCGCGGCCGGGAGGGACCGAGCGGGGAGCAAGGCCUGCGGGGAGGCGCAGGAUGGACGCGUUGGCUGUCAUGAUGUAGGACCUCCUGACCUAGAACCAUGCCCGGCGCAGGGAGAACAACGAGCUUACGGACCGGGUGCGGGGGCUGCUGUGCGAGAAAGCCUACCUGCUGGCCCGGGAGCGUUCGCCGGCCCACCUGGUGGCUUUCCCUGGACGUUUAACGGCGACUCCGCCCGGCCUCCCGACUUUUUGAUGCAGGCGUUCUCUUACAUGACUUUCUUCGAGGCUAGAUUCUCGAAAGACAUCCUGAAGGUGGCUUUCUUAAUUAGCUGCCUCACCGGCUGGCGGAGCAGUUCGUAGUCGCCUACAUCGAGAGGGAGAGCCCCGUCCUGGCUCAGUACUGGGGCUUCGUGGACGCGCUGUAGCGGGUCUUCGCCGUCGUGGGUAGGAAACAGUCGGGCCGGAUCCCCGGUGUCUGGGGAGCGGCUGCCGGCCGGGCCCGCGCGAGCCGCUUCACUCCUACAAGCCCGGCUCACUAGUUCCAAGCUGCUGGACUUUGACCCUCGCUGGGAAGCUUGAUCGCCGCCUGUUCUCGCCAAUCUCUAUGCCUUUGCACUGCCCAGCAACCCGGUCACUGCCCAGGACCUGUUAAAAGUUGAAUGGACCUCCCAGAAUCACGCCGCUGCCACCGCCGUUUCUAGAGACGGCUUUUGGCCACCUUUGAGAAUCAGGGUCAAACUUGGAAGGGCCUGCAUUUGUCACACUUCCUCGGACACUAAUUUGGAUAGUUCAGGCCCAGAGACGGCUUCCCGGAUCCUUUGCACAUGGCCUGCUAUCAACAAUCCUCUACAAUGAUUCUCAGCAUCACCUAGGGAGCUUAUGUAAAAUCUCAAAUUCCUGGGCCCUAUCCCCAGAGUUUCUUAUCAAUUUCCUUGAUGGAGAACUAUCAAAGCAGUCAAAGCUAUCAAAAUAAAAAAGAAUUCUGAUUGGGUGCAGUGGCUCACACCUGUCAUUCCAGCACUUUGAGAGGCCAAGGUGGGCAGAUCACAUGAGGCCAGGAGUUCAAGACCAGCCUGGCCAACAUGGCAGAAACCCCAUCUCUACUAAAAAUACCAAAAUUAGCCGGGCAUGGUGGAACACACCUGCAAUCCCAGCUACUCGGGAGGCUGAGGCAAGAGAAUCGCUUGAACCUGGGAGGCAGAAGUUGCAGUGAAACAAGUUGGUGCCAAUGCAUUCCAGCCUGGAUGAUGGAGCGAGACUCUGUCUCAAGAAAAAAAAAACAAAAACAAAAACAGAACUCUGCCUCAUAGCGUCUUUUAAGUUAUACACUGGACCUAUCCUUUCCUCACUGACAGACAUUUUAAAAAUUUUUUGGUAAGGCCUAGUUCAUAUAAAAUGUAAUCCAAGCCAAAAGUUAACAAGAAUAAGGGGAGGAAAGGGGACUCCAAUAGCAGAGAAAGGUAUUUACCUGGGAUAUACACUGCAAGAAAAUCAAAGCUAUAAGAAACGUCCAUGAAUAGUAGCCAUAAGGCAUCAGAGUGAUAAAAUUCCUGUCCCUAGGAGGGAAUAUUGGAGUUUGCCAGAGAAACAGAAUGAGAGAGACAGAGAGGUUUAUUGUAGGAAUUGGCUCAUAUGAUUACGGAGGCUGAGAAGACCCACGAUCUGCCAUCUGCAAGCUGGAGAAUCAGGAAAGCUGGAGGUGUAAUUCAGUCAAGUCCAAUGGCCAGAGAAGCAAGUGUACUGAUAUCCAAGAGCAGGAGAAAAUAGAUGUCCCAGAACAAGCAGAGAGGCUGAUUUUGUCCUUCCUCUGCCUUUUUGUUUCAUAUGGGGCACUGAAUGGACUGAUGCCCAUCCACAUUAGUGAGGGUGGAUCUUCUUUACUCAGUCUACCAGUAGAAAUGUCAAUGACUUCCAGAAACACCCUCACCAACACACGUGGAAAUAAUGUUUUACCAGGUAUCUGGGCAUCCCUUGGUUCACUCAAGUUGACACAAAAUUAACCAUCACAGAAGGAGACUGGCCUUACUCUGAAAUUAGGAAACUAAAGAAGUGACCAGAAUGGAGACUAGGUAGAGACAACUAGUUCUCUACCAAACAUGUACAGUUAUUCGUUGGUAUCUGAAGGGGAUUGGUUCCAGGAACUCUCAGGGAUACCAAAAUCUGCAGGUGCUCAAGUCAUUUAUAUAAAAUAUUACAGUAUUUGCAUAUAACCUUUGCACAUCUUCCAUAUACUUUAAAUCAUCUCUACAUUACUUAUAAUAAUGAAUGUGUAAAUGCUAUGAAAAUAGUUACUACACUAUUGUUUAUUUGUAUUUUUAUUGAAUUGUUUUGGGGUGGGGGGCAGCUGUAUCUUUCUUAGUAAUAGAACCCCUGGUUUUAGCUGGGCACAUGACUGCCCUCAAUAAAGAUUAAAGUACCCCAGCCUUCCUUGAGAUUGUGGCCAUGUGACUGAACUUUAGACAGUGAGAUAUAAGCAGAUAUCUUCUGUGGCAGUGUUAGGAAACUAUUAAAGACAGUAAGAACAUU